GAAUGAAGAACCUAAGUGUGAAACAAGAAACCAUCAAAAUCCUAGAGGAGAACACAGUCAGAAACCUCUUUCACCUCAGCUACAGCAAAUUCUUACUAGACAUAUUUGCAAAUUCAAGGGAAG